rnacentral:lncRNA from 10 species
GCCCGGUCGAUAUUUUUUUUUCCUAAAAAUUGAGAUAGUUUAACAGCCUUUUUUGUCCUAAGUCUUAUAGCGCAUCUCCGUUUGCACUGGCUCAGGACUCGAGAGCCACACGUGGCUAGUGCCUACUGUUCUGGCGCGCUCAGGCUUGGAGCCUUCUCUGCGGAGGCCAAGUCCUGCAAGGGAUCUGUUUGCUGCGGUUUCCUAGUAGUGUCUGCCGCAUCACUGGGGCCCGGUGAUCUGGGUAACCAUGUGAGCUUGGGUAACCUCUCCUCUCCCUCUCCUGGGACUGCUGUGGACGUUAAAUACAGCGGUGGAUGUUAGAGACGCAGUUCAGUCACUGGCAUUGAUUCGCCGUUGUUGCUGCUCUUCUUUCCUCAAAGGCGACUGAAGGGCAGCAGGCCCAUGCUCGCUUCUGUCUGCCCGAUGAGUCACUUCACCCUAGGCCUGGCCCUCUAGAGAACACUCCUCUAAGAUUACAGAAUGCAAAUCUGGAUUCCAGAGCUGGCAGAGGCCCCAGGGUCAGGCUCUAGGACAACCGGCGAAAAAGCGGGAACCUCUACUCCACGCCCUUGGUUUUUCG